rnacentral:rRNA from 1 species
GACGAACGCUGGCGGCGUGCUUAACACAUGCAAGUCGAACGGAAAGGCCCUGCUUUUGUGGGGUGCUCGAGUGGCGAACGGGUGAGUAACACGUGAGUAACCUGCCCUUGACUUUGAGAUAACUUCAGGAAACUGGGGCUAAUACCGGAUAGGAGCUCCUGCUGCAUGGUGGGGGUUGGAAAGUUUCGGCGGUUGGGGAUGGACUCGCGGCUUAUCAGCUUGUUGGUGGGGUAGUGGCUUACCAAGGCUUUGACGGGUAGCCGGCCUGGGAGGGUGACCGGCCACAUUGGGACUGAGAUACGGCCCAGACUCCUACGGGAGGCAGCAGUGGGGAAUAUUGCACAAUGGGCGGAAGCCUGAUGCAGCAACGCCGCGUGCGGGAUGACGGCCUUCGGGUUGUAAACCGCUUUCGCCUGUGACGAAGCGUGAGUGACGGUAAUGGGUAAAGAAGCACCGGCUAACUACGUG